GAUGAACGCUGGCGGCGUGCCUAAUACAUGCAAGUCGAGCGAACAGACGAGGAGCUUGCUCCUCUGACGUUAGCGGCGGACGGGUGAGUAACACGUGGAUAACCUACCUAUAAGACUGGGAUAACUUCGGGAAACCGGAGCUAAUACCGGAUAAUAUAUUGAACCGCAUGGUUCAAUAGUGAAAGACGGUUUUGCUGUCACUUAUAGAUGGAUCCGCGCCUCAUUAGCUAGUUGGUAAGGUAACGGCUUACAAAGGCAACGAUGCGUAGCCGACCUGAGAGGGUGAUCGGCCACACUGGAACUGAGACACGGUCCAGACUCCUACGGGAGGCAGCAGUAGGGAAUCUUCCGCAAUGGGCGAAAGCUUGACGGAGCAACGCCGCGUGAGUGAUGAAGGUCUUCGGAUCGUAAAACUCUGUUAUUAGGGAAGAACAAAUGUGUAAGUAACUAUGCACGUCUUGACGGUACCUAAUCAGAAAGCCACGGCUAACUACGUG
rnacentral:rRNA from 1 species